AGCAAUACCCCGCUGAUACGGGAGUGGAUCCGAAACCUAAUGUAAGGUUAACUUUGACUCUCCACCCCCUACUCCUACCCAAUACGUCCCCGUCGUACAGAAAGGUAACACGUCUCUCAAUUAUCCAAGCUUGUUUAUACGAGGAUACCCAACCCCUUGGGUUGGAUGGCUAAAUGGCUAAACCCGGAUGGGUUGCAUGGCUAAAUUGAGGGAC
rnacentral:ribozyme from 1 species